rfam:Schistosoma rodhaini strain Burundi genome assembly, scaffold: SROB_scaffold0000257
AUCCAGCUGACGAGUCUUGAAUAGGACGAAGUGGAGCGCUUCCUGGAU